AUGCAUGAUGAGAUUGUUGUGAUUUUUACUGCAUACUGCAUUACUGCAGCUGGUCCCACAGGGAAGCCCUCAGUGUCUCUGCUGCCGCCCUCUUCUCUGCAGAUCUCUGGAGACUCAGCCGCACUGCUCUGCCUGUGCGGCUCUUACUCUCCACAUGGAGCGCUGGUGAGCUGGACACUGGACGGCUCAGAGGUCACAGAGGGGGUUGUGACCAGUGCAGAGAGCGAGCAGGACGGCCGCUACAGUCGCAGUAGUGUCCUGAGCCUCAGCAAAGCACGCUAUAACCUCUGCACUGAUCAUAUACGACAAAGAAACACUCAAGAAACACCGCGGGAAACGUGCUGGGAUUCCCAGCAGACUGAGGAAAAGAGCACACAGCCCUCCUCUACCGAGCAUUCUGCUCGCCAAUGUCCAGUCUCUGGAGAAUAA